UUCCAGCUCCAAUAGCGUAUAUUAAAGUUGUUGCAGUUAAAAAGCUCGUAGUUGGAUUUCUGGUUGGAGCGACCGGUCGGGCAUUGAUUUGUCUGCACUGGAGUCGGUUCUGGCCAUCCUCUUGGAAAGUGCGUCUGUCAUUAAGUUGUCGGGCGUAUGAUCCAGGUCUUUUACUGUGAAAAAUUAGAGUGUUUAAAGCAGGCCUUCGCCUUGAAUACAUUAGCAUGGAAUAAUAAGAUAGGACUUUGGUCUAUUUUGUUGGUUUGUCAGACCGAAGUAAUGAUUAAUAGGGAGUAGUUGGGGUAGGUUUAUUAUUCCUAACUAGUUC
rnacentral:rRNA from 1 species